AUAUUGACUUUCAUUUUUUUUGUCACUAAAUUAAAAUUAUAUUCAUUAACUUGAUGUGGAACCAAGGAAGUACACAAUACCCAAACAAGGGAAACCAAAGCCGACAGAUGAAGUUAAAGUCCUCAGAGUCAAAGCCGGAGGAAAAAGAAAAUAUCCCCGGAAAGAAAGCCCUAAAGAAAGGGAAACAAAGACCCUAAAACCACAAAGCAGCAAACCAGAGACCCUAAACGAAAGAUGAUGUACCCAAAUACAAUAGCCGAAGCAACAAAGCUAAAAUCCUAAAAAACAAUAGUCACAAGCGGCAAAGAAAAACUCCUCCUCAAAAGCACCUGCGAAGAGAUUUACUACGGCUGCCCACAGCCAACCCGAAAUAACAUCUGCCACCUCCUAUCAUGAAGAGAGCCAAUCUCUCGAAACCAGAAGCAAGAACUUCAUAACCCGGCAAGCCAAACCACAAGAAGAAACUUGAAAACGCUUCCGGAUGCGACGACGACGACUGAGGCGACCAAUUGCGUCUAGAUAGAAGCCUUCAAAAAGCUAACAGAAAAGAUCUGAAGCAAGUACAAGGAGUGAAGCCUAACCUCUCGAGAACCUUCAUCGAGAACAAGCACGACGAAAGAAGGAGGAAGCUAUCAAACACAGAAACCAACACCAAGGAGGAGAACCAACUGCCAACAAAGAAGACUACCACAACAGAAACAGAAAGAAAAGGGACAUCCAGUUGGGAACCAAUGGCUGAAGCAAGGAGACCAAGAGGCGGAAGGAAAGGCAUGGUCUGGGCACAAACUCAACGAGAACCCACCACCACACAAACAAUGGCAUAGAAACAAAGCUAACCACUUGAACGGCUACAAGAUCACCUGAUCUGUCCGCUCCAACCGAAUCCAUAAUCUCAAAGUUCGGUUGACUUUCUAUUAAUCCUCAAUAAUAUUGACUUUCUAUUUUCCUUUAUUUUUUUACAUCUAUUUUGUUUCAUUU
rnacentral:sRNA from 1 species